CGAACACUUCUGUUUUCACCAACCAUAUCGCUAUUUUCGGUAAAGAAUGAAGAGGCAUGUGACGGUCCCGCAGCCGCCGGUCAUGGAGGUUCCCCAGGUUCCUGAGUCCUCGAGCCAGGGAGAACUGGGAGCCACCGGAGGA